rnacentral:rRNA from 1 species
UGGGGAAUAUUGGACAAUGGGCGAAAGCCUGAUCCAGCCAUGCCGCGUGUGUGAAGAAGGUCUUCGGAUUGUAAAGCACUUUAAGUUGGGAGGAAGGGCAUUAACCUAAUACGUUAGUGUUUUGACGUUACCGACAGAAUAAGCACCGACUAACUCUGUGCCAGCAGCCGCGGUAAUACAGAGGGUGCAAGCGUUAAUCGGAAUUACUGGGCGUAAAGCGCGCGUAGGUGGAUUGUUAAGUUGGAUGUGAAAUCCCCGGGCUCAACCUGGGAACUGCAUUCAAAACUGACUGACUAGAGUAUGGUAGAGGGUGGUGGAAUUUCCUGUGUAGCGGUGAAAUGCGUAGAUAUAGGAAGGAACACCAGUGGCGAAGGCGACCACCUGGACUAAUACUGACACUGAGGUGCGAAAGCGUGGGGAGCAAACA